rnacentral:rRNA from 1 species
CAGCCGCCGCGGGAAAACAGAGGGUGCAAGCGUUAAUCGGAAUUACUGGGCGUAAAGCGCGCGUAGGUGGUUUGUUAAGUUGGAUGUGAAAUCCCCGGGCUCAACCUGGGAACUGCAUCCAAAACUGGCAAGCUAGAGUAUGGUAGAGGGUGGUGGAAUUUCCUGUGUAGCGGUGAAAUGCGUAGAUAUAGGAAGGAACACCAGUGGCGAAGGCGACCACCUGGACUGAUACUGACACUGAGGUGCGAAAGCGUGGGGAGCAAACAGGAUUAGAUACCCCCGUAGUCCCUGUCUCUUAUAC